UUAUGCCCAAAAAACACCCAUUACUCAUUAGGCUUGUUUGAGAUGAGCAAAGGCUGUUUCUCAAACGGAAGGCUGCAUCCUCCAGAGGUCGCAUUUGCAGUCUGUAUACGUCAUCAAUCCUGGUUUAUUUCAGUUAACUGAGCAUUAUAUUCGCGAGUCAUAAGCAUAUUUCAACAAUAUACACUUAACUAAGAAUACUGGUCAAAUUUAUCUGUUAAUAUUCUAAAAUAAGAUCUUCUUUAUGACGUAUGCAGCCUACAAAUGCGACCUCCGAAUGCAGCCUUUCGUUUGAGAAACGGCCAAAAUCUGCGCAGAACCGAUCAUCGGUGCACAGCAAAAUCUCCAGUGUUGAAAUCCUAGUGUUAAGGAUUUUUAGAGUAAAGUGUUAAAGUUGUGGUGUUGAACUUUAGGGGAUUAACACUAGCUAGUGUAAACAGCGCUCUCUGGCCAGUGUAAAUAUGCAGAGAAACUCUUAUAACACUCUGUUGAGUAUUAUUAGUCACAUCCGGGACAUUUGCUCAUGUGCGCACUUAACCCAUCUGGAAUAUUUUUCACAGACGCCAUUUUCUUAGACUCGCGAUGCGGAGCGUAUGAGGACGGAAAACAGCGAAAUUAAGUGUUUAAUCUUAAUCACAAUAUGUGUAUUGUAAAUAUCAUAUCGUUUUAUAGCGAUAUUUAUGAGGUGUGUGCGCCUAAAUUUUUUUUUUUAAAGACAUUUCUUCCACUCGCGAGGCGGACCAGAUGAGGACGUUUCUUUUUAAAAGGGACACGCCGAAAGUUAAGUGUUUUAUCUCAUUUAACGUUAUAUGUAUUUCACAACAUCAUAUUGAUUUAUAGCGAUAUUUGUGUGAUGUGCACUCCUAAACUUUUCCUCAGGAAAUUGGUUUUAUCAUGGAAAACACGGAACAUGCAUUUGAAUGGCUAUGCACUGACGCGGAAGCCACUUUUAACAGGGGAAACAUAAGUAAGAGACAUUUUCUUUCACUGCAGAUGCGGAGCGGACAGGGAAGUCGGUCUUCUCAAGGAAAACACUGAGUGAGUUAAAUUGUUCGUCAUUCAAAGUGAUUUUGUGCCCUCACAAGUCUUGAAAUAUGGCACAUGAGUCGCAUAAACUACUUUAGACACUUUAUUAUCUUUUUUUUUUUUUAAAGCAUGAACGUGUUUUGUGUUCAGCAAAUGUGAAUCCUAUAGGUUUGGAAUUACAAUUUUAAGUUAACUGUUCCUUUAAUAUUGUUACAGAUGGUUCAUGCUGGUUUAACAGAAAAAUCGAAAGGAGAUGAUGUGCUUGAAGAGUAUGAAGACACCAAUACAUUAAGUGGAAUGAGAAGAGCUUUGUUAGGACACAUACCAGAGACAUGGGUAAGCCACAAUUGCAUAUUUUAAGAUUGAUUGUCAUGCUUAAUUUUUAUUAUUAUUAAACAAUAAUAAUAAAGAGUCUGAUCUCCUUCUAAAAAUGUUUCAUAAAAAAUGCAUCAAAUGUAAGUUUUUGGUAUGCUUGUAUUGUAAUUUAUUUAUGUACUGUCCCAUUUAUGUGCAAUCAUUUUGGUAGGAGUAGUCGUCCAACCAUAAGUGAACAGUAAAUGUUUACUUAUACUCAUGCCUUUCCACAGAUGCCAUGUAUGACAGUUUAUUUUGUUGAUUAUUCAAAAUAUCUAUUUUUUUGUGUUCCUCAGAAGACAGAAGGUCCUACAGGUGUGGAAGCACAUGAGUAUAAAUAAAUGAUGACAGAAUGUUCAGUUUUGGGUUAACUAUUCUUAUAUUGUAAGUGAUACUUGUCCCUGACAUUUCACCUGAUAAAUGGAUGUGAAAUAAUCCUUUUUGUUUUUUCUCUUAUUUUACAGGAGCACUUUUGUGGUGCUGCAAGUGGGAGUUGAGUAUCUUGCUUGGCUGAAAACUGCGGAGAAACACAUCUCGUCUUGCUGAAAACUACUCUUUACAAGAAGGUCCAAACACCAUUAGCACAGACUUUGUUCAGUUAGCAUUAACAUGCAUUCUGCCUGGAUGCUAAUGAAUGGGAUGCUGUUGUUUAAGCUGAUAAAUGUAAGCAUUAUAAACCUCGUGACAUUAAGUGUACAUAUGGACCAAAUAAGAAUAUGUAUUUUGUGCCUUUGCACUGAUUUGCUUUGACAUUAUGAUGUUUUAAUUGUUGUAAGAACAUGUUCUUUACAUGCAUUGAAAACAUUGAAUGUGAAAACAUUUUUCUCAGGGAAAAAGAUUUACAAUGUUUCAAUUAAAAAUUAAUAAUUGUAAAAGUGUAUUGUUUUGUGGGUUUAUUUUUUUAUAUUUUUACCUGAACAUUGGUGCAGUGUUCACCAGUUGAGGGAGUUAAAUUCACUCUUUAAAAUUUGCAGUGUAGGUAUAUGUUUUAAUCUGCAUUACCAUUUUAAAAUAAGUAUUUACAUUAAAUCAACAUUAAAUAAAUACACUGGGUGUGUAGGAUUAAUCACCAUAAAGUGUUAAAUGUGUAUACUUGUGAGUAAUAAUUUCUUACCACCCUUAGUGAUUAAAAUUAAACACUAACACAGUGUUCGUAUAAUAAACACUUUCGUCAGUGUUGUUUUAACACUAGCAAAGAUGGACCUGUAUGUUCACCCGGAAAGUGUUCAUUUUAACACCCAUGGUGACAAAUCUCCCAACAUAUUUUUGCUGUGUGAUCACCGCGAGAAGCAUGCCGUUUAGAAAAGUGUCCGAGUUACGUCCGCCUUGCUCUGAUGUCAUGCUGACGUGUGCCAAAAAACUCUCGCAGCGGCGAGGCGGCUGUGUCGGAUUGAGCAGUAGCGCGCAGUUGCUCUCCACCAACUGCGCUGAUCAAAAGCAUGAUGGGAAACGACUGACUGACGACGCAGCUUAAUGCUCAUCGGUUCAGACAACCGUGAUGCUGCGUUCUCUUCUAAAAUGUUGUAUUUUUUUUAAUGUGAUUUCAUGCUAUUAUGUAUUUAAAUUGUGCAUGAAUAUUCCCAAACACUGACAGUGCCAUCUCUGCGUGAGGUGUGAUUGUUGUCAUAUUUUCUAUAAAAAUCUAAAAUACGUUUGAAUUCAAAUAAAAAUGGAUGAUAAAUACACCUUUCCUAUGGAAUUAAAUAGCAAGCACUUUGAGUGUCUUGUUCAUCAUAUUUGUGUUCAUAUAAAAGCAACAGAACUGAAAUUAUAUCAUGUUUAUCAGCAGCACAGCAUAUGAGUGAGAAUAAUGCAAUAUCUGCCUUUGAUCUCGUAUCUGUUCCACUUCGAGAGGGCAGAACUGUAUGUCUUGACUGCGCUUAUUUCACUCCUUCCCUCACUCACUGCAGCCACCUAGUCUCGCCUACAUUUCAGGCAAGGCGAGGCGCAUCUCAAACAAGCCUAUUAAGAGAAUAGGGACCCGUUUAGACCAUGCGCCUGGGCGUGCCGACCGUUUUCCCGUCGUUAAACUAGCAAAAGUGGAUUUUGACACGCCCCUGAGUGCACUUGCACAGUGCGCUUUAGACCAUGCGCUUAGAUCAUUAAAAUAGGGUCCAGUUAUUGUCAAUAUGCAUUUAUUUUUACCUUACUUGCUCAAGGACUCCCAAACGAUUCGCUCAACUAUUAAUUUUUCCAAACCCCUCCUUUGCGUGAUGCUAUUUUGCAGUGAUUGGUCUCACUUACAUUUCAUCAUGCCUGUAAAGCAGUGUUUGUGAGCUCAGUGCUGUUUUGUGUACAGUGUUACCGGGAAAACCGGUAUUUUUGCCGCUACAAAAGCAGCACCUAGUGGCAAAGAAUGAAUUUGCACUUUCAUUCAGACCAAUGCGAAAAGACCAACAAGUGGGCGGGCAAUAUGCUAAUGUUUCAUGUUGACAUCAGCAUGAAACGGCUUGGAUUCGUUUUUAAAAACGACUCGUCGACUCUUUGUUUCGAGAGACUGUCCCUGCGUCACAAUGUGCAUACUACCCUAACUACCCUAAAUAGUAUUGAAAAUUACUAAUUUCACAUAGAAUUUAGGAUGGAUAGUAUGCACAUUGGGACGCAGGCAGUAACUUUAUACAAGGUGCACUUUAAGAUUUAAAACUUUGCAGGAUGUUUUCAUUGUGUUACACACUGCAUGAAAGUUAAUCUUCAAAAAUCCAUCAUGGGGCACUUUAAAAAUGUACAGGAAAUGCUUGUGUUCUUCAGCUAAAAUAGCAUUAUAUUUUAUCUAUUAAUAUGCAGUUGUUCAGGAUGUAUUUAUGAUGACUUUUUUUUUUUUUUUUUUUUUUUUGCUCAGGUGGUUGGCUAUUCACACAAAAGCAGCAUGGUUUAGUUCCCAACUGUUUCUAAGGAAUAGGGAAUGAAGUUAAACUUGUAUCACUAUUGAGCAAGACAAAGGGGCCUUUGUCUUUGCAGUCAGUGAUUUGUGUCGAUUUUGAUUCAGUACUUUCAAAUGUCAAACACCAAAAUAUAAGUAUUGAGGAGAAAGUGCCCAGAUAGAGGCUACUCAGGAUAAGAAUAUUUGAACUGAGAUAAAAUUGUACUUUUUAAAGAAUGCAUUCAUUUCUGCUUUAAAUAUAAAAAAACAAAUUUAUAAACCAGUUUCAAUAAUUAAUAAAACCAAAUUUAUUUCACAAUCAUGCCACAUUACAAUUAGCAUGCCCAAGCUGUUCGAGCAAGUUGAGUUCAUGAAUCAACAGAA